AUUUAAGUAGUUUAAAAAAAAUAUUGAUUUGUGGUGUCAGAGAUGUAAAAUUUACCUUAAAUA
rnacentral:tRNA from 1 species